rnacentral:rRNA from 1 species
AACGAACGCUGGCGGCAUGCCUAACACAUGCAAGUCGAACGAGACCUUCGGGUCUAGUGGCGCACGGGUGCGUAACGCGUGGGAAUCUGCCCUUCGGUUCGGAAUAACUCAGGGAAACUUGAGCUAAUACCGGAUGAUGUCUUCGGACCAAAGAUUUAUCGCCGAGGGAUGAGCCCGCGUAGGAUUAGGUAGUUGGUGGGGUAAUGGCCCACCAAGCCGACGAUCCUUAGCUGGUCUGAGAGGAUGAUCAGCCACACUGGGACUGAGACACGGCCCAGACUCCUACGGGAGGCAGCAGUGGGGAAUAUUGGACAAUGGGCGAAAGCCUGAUCCAGCAAUGCCGCGUGAGUGAUGAAGGCCUUAGGGUUGUAAAGCUCUUUUACCAGGGAUGAUAAUGACAGUACCUGGAGAAUAAGCUCCGGCUAACUCCGUG